UUUAUGAGAGACAGCAGGACCAAGUGAGGCCAAUAAUGAAGAAUGAGUGUAGCCGAGGGUGACUGUGAAAGGUUGUGAUGAGAGGAGCCGUCAGCCGUGAAAAUGGCUGUGUGUUAAUAAUGUAAAAGGAAGAAAAAAAAAAAAGAAAAAAAAGUCCAUUGGUGGAGAUGGAUGAGGAGGGAGAUUGGGGUGCGGAGGAAUCGAGACUACUACUAUCCAGAUCCACCCACUCCGAUUGUCAUCUUCAUGAUCCUAAUCCUGACGAUGAAUUGCAAUUUCAGGAAAUAAAAAGACCCAUGGCGAAGUCACUCCAUAGAUGUAAAACAGCCCCAGCAAAGGAUAUGGCCGCCGUGGUUCGUGAGCUUCAAGCGAAAUACACAGCAACUGGCGGUGGCGGUGAUGUUGGUGGUAAAGCUGAAGUCGAGGAGGAGGAAGACGAAGAUGAAGAUGAUGAAGAUUCCUCGGGUACGAGGACGGUGAUGGUGAGACAAGCAGGUAUACUACUGAUAGUAUACUUAGUCAUGGGUGUUUUGGUGUAUCAACUCAACAAGGAUCAAUUUUCAAGUGGAGAAGGAGGUGUAGAGACUCAUCCAAUUGUUGAUGCUCUCUACUUCUGCAUCGUCACAAUGUGUACCAUCGGCUACGGUGAUAUUACUCCUCUCACUCCUUUUACCAAACUGUUUUCCUGUCUCUUUGUACUUGUUGGCUUUGGUUUCAUCGACAUUCUCCUUUCUGGAGUACUCAAUUAUGUGCUUGAUCUCCAGGAGCAGAAUAUCCUCUCUGAUAUACUUCAUCAUCAGACUAAUAAUGUUAAUAAUCCGAAUCUGAGUCAUAAUCGCAAUCCCCCUUUCCUCCGCUUUCUCACCCUCAGGCUUGUAGAUGUUCAGAAAGGUCGCAUGAGAAUCCGUCUCAAAGUUGGUCUAGCACUGCUGGUCCUUAUCCUAUGCAUCGGUGUUGGAACUCUCUUCUUGUAUUUUGUUGAGCAAUUGUCUUUGGUUGACUCCCUUUAUCUAUCUGCCCUUUCCGUUACUACCGUUGGCUACGGCGAUAAAGCCUUCAUCACCCUCUCCGGCCGCCUUUUCGCUUCUGUUUGGCUCCUCUUUUCCACUUUGGCUGUCGCCCGCUCCUUUCUCUUCCUUGUUGAGGCUCGCAUUCACAAGCGUCAACGUACCAUUGCCAAGUGGGUUCUCCAAAGGGACAUUACUCCUCUUGACCUCUUUGCUGCCAACAUCAAUAAUAACGAUUUCAUCAACAAAUCAGAAUAUGUUAUCUUCAAGCUUAAAGAGAUGGGAAAGAUUGUAGAGCAGGACAUAUCACAGAUUUGCCAUCAGUUUGAAAAGCUUGAUUCCAACAACAUGGGAAGGAUUACGCUGCCUGAUCUAUUGCAAAGUCGCCCUUUUUCGUGAAAGCAGAAGGUUUGGCCUGAAAAGCAUUGCAAGAGGGUUGUUAUGAGGGUUAUAAUUGCUUCACUCUUCAGCAUUAGCUGUAGAUAUUUAAUUGUUGGAGUGUGGACACUAUUCCCACCUCAAGUCUGAUUAUAAUACAUGUCCUAGAAGUCUUUAGAUGGAUUAAAUCUGUUCCCCCUUACAAAUGUUAUUGGGAGCUACUCCAAUUCACCUGUUGCAGAAGAAAUCCUAUGAAUAAAGGAAGUCAUGUUCAUCACGGGAAUCAUAGGAAUAUUAUAAUUCUGAAGACUAAAGGAGAUAUCUAUGAGCCUAUGAUGGCCAA